rnacentral:rRNA from 1 species
UGCCGCGUGCAGGAAGACAGCCCUCUGGGUCGUAAACUGCUUUUAUUCGGGAAUAAACCUUUCUACGUGUAGGAAGCUGAAUGUACCGAAGGAAUAAGGAUCGGCUAACUCCGUGCCAGCAGCCGCGGUAAUACGGAGGAUCCAAGCGUUAUCCGGAUUUAUUGGGUUUAAAGGGUGCGUAGGCGGCUUAUUAAGUCAGGGGUGAAAGACGGUGGCUCAACCAUCGCAGUGCCCUUGAUACUGAUGAGCUUGAAUACACUAGAGGUAGGCGGAAUGUGACAAGUAGCGGUGAAAUGCAUAGAUAUGUCACAGAACACCGAUUGCGAAGGCAGCUUACUAUGGUGUUAUUGACGCUGAGGCACGAAAGCGUGGGGAUCAAACAGGAUUAGAUACCCUGGUAGUCCACGCCCUAAACGAUGAAUACUCGCUGUUAGCGAUAUACAGUUAGCGGCUAAGCGAAAGCGUUAAGUAUUCCACCUGGGGAGUACGCCCGCAAGGGUGAAACUCAAAGGAAUUGACGGGGGCCCGCACAAGCGGAGGAGCAUGUGGUUUAAUUCGAUGAUACGCGAGGAACCUUACCCGGGCUUGAAAGUUAGUGAAUGAUCUAGAGAUAGAUCAGUGAGCA